GACGAACGCUGGCGGCGUGCUUAACACAUGCAAGUCGAACGGAAAGGCCCUGCUUUUGUGGUGUGCUCGAGUGGCGAACGGGUGAGUAACACGUGAGUAACCUGCCCUUGACUUUCGGAUAACUUCAGGAAACUGGGGCUAAUACCGUAUAGGAGCUCCUGCUGCAUGGUGGGGGUUGGAAAUUUUCGGCGGUUGGGGAUGGACUCGCGGCUUAUCAGCUUGUUGGUGGGGUAGUGGCUUACCAAGGCUUUGACGGGUAGCCGGCCUGAGAGGGUGACCGGCCACAUUGGGACUGAGAUACGGCCCAGACUCCUACGGGAGGCAGCAGUGGGGAAUAUUGCACAAUGGGCGGAAGCCUGAGGCAGCAACGCCGCGUGCGGGAUGACGGCCUGCGGGUUGUAAACCGCUUUCGCCUGUGACGAAGCGUGAGUGACGGUAAUGGGUAAAGAAGCACCGGCUAACUACGUG
rnacentral:rRNA from 1 species